AAGUCGUAACAAGGUCUCCGUAGGUGAACCUGCGGAGGGAUCAUUACACAAUAAAAUAUGAAGGCUGUACGCGGCUGUGCUCUCGGGCCAGUUUUGCGGAGGCUGAAUUAUUUAUUACCCUUGUCUUUUGCGCACUUGUUGUUUCCUGGGCGGGUUCGCCCGCCACCAGGACCACAUCAUAAACCUUUUUUAUGCAGUUGCAAUCAGCGUCAGUAUAACAAAUGUAAAUCAUUUACAACUUUCAACAACGGAUCUCUUGGUUCUG
rnacentral:misc_RNA from 2 species